rnacentral:rRNA from 1 species
ACGUAGGGUGCGAGCGUUAAUCGGAAUUACUGGGCGUAAAGCGUGCGCAGGCGGUUAUAUAAGUCAGAUGUGAAAUCCCCGGGCUCAACCUGGGAACUGCAUUUGAGACUGUAUGACUAGAGUGUGGCAGAGGGGGGGGGAAUUCCCAGUGGAGCGGGGGAAUGCGUAGAGAUGGUGAGGAACACCGGUGGCGAAAGCCGCACCCUGGGGCAAAUCUGACGCUGCUGCCCGAAAGCGUGGGGAGCAAACAG